rnacentral:rRNA from 1 species
UUGACGGGGCCCGCACAAGCGGCGGAGCAUGCGAUUAAUUCGAUGCAACGCGAAGAACCUUACCAAGGCUUGACAUACACCGGUAACGCCCAGAGAUGGGUGCCCCUUUGUGGUCGGUGUACAGGUGGUGCAUGGUUGUCGUCAGCUCGUGUCGUGAGAUGUUGGGUUAAGUCCCGCAACGAGCGCAACCCUCGUCCUAUGUUGCCAGCGGGUCAUGCCGGGGACUCAUGGGAGACUGCCGGGGUCAACUCGGAGGAAGUGGGGAUGACGUCAAAUCAUCAUGCCCCUUAUGUCUUGGGCUUCACGCAUGCUACAAUGGCCGGUACAAAGGGCUGCGAUACCGCGAGGUGGAGCGAAUCCCAGAAAGCCGGUCUCAGUUCGGAUUGGGGUCUGCAACUCGACCCCAUGAAGUCGGAGUCGCUAGUAAUCGCAGAUCAGCAACGCUGCGGUGAAUACGUUCCCGGGCCUU